rnacentral:lncRNA from 1 species
ACAGAUAUAAUCCACCCUAUUAUUGGAUCUAAUGACCCAUGAGAGGAAAAUUAAAUUUCCUGGCUCUAACGAUGGCCUUCGCUCUCAUUUAAGCAAGCCUGUUGUCUUACAAAUAGGACAUAGGUUCUUUAGCAUUAACCACUGUUUGAUGCAGUUAGUGUGGAAGUCAUGUCCACAAUCUAGUGUCCCAGUGUCAUCCCCAUCUGCAUAUUCUUCCUGCCAUGGUUAAAGUUCAAACAAGGUAAACAAAACUAAACUAACAGAAGCUUAAUGAAGCUAUUUAAAGCAGCAGAUCUACUCUCGUCUUGCAUCAUACCUGACAGAUACAACAUGGUUCCAAUUCCGUUGGGGAUUCUGUUGCAGUGGUCGAAUGCUUCUGCCGUUCCAUCAACUUCAGAAUCAUUUCCUCGCUCAGUCCAGUGCUCACAUCUCCUAUGCGUUCUUCUAAUGCCAACAAUUCCUAAUGUUCCAAUUGAUAUGUAAGAAGAAUAACCUCCAAUGUGAAGUGAUAGAACAUAAAGCAGCAACCCUUUUUACCUCAUAAGACAUGUUAUCAACAUCAAGACGCAUAUCUCUAUGUCUGUCAUGCAUCUCAGCCAUUCCAUGAUAUAUCAAUGGAUCAAACAGCAUAUAAUCCUGGAAGGGCGUCAUGUAAAGAUCUAAUAUCAAUACAACACCAUAUAAUGUAGGAAAGGACUAAGAAUUAUUAUCAGACAAAAAGCACUUCCUAGGCUUCUACCCGGGUGCUCCACUAAAAGAGUUCCUUGUCUCUCAUUUGGUGGAAAUCGGUUUAGAAAGUAUUUAGACAUGUAUUCAGUAUUCUGAAGGUUGCGAGCCUGUUUCUUUUCCUUUGUGGGACCAAAGGGUGCGAAAUCCUACUAUAAUUUUAUCCAAGAAUGCUAAGAAUCAAAGAUUGUGAGAAAAAUUUUGCUUAAAGGAUAUCAAGCCAUGCAUGUGACAUAAUGGCCAAAAAAAUCAAGACUAGACGAUAUGGAAUAUGAACAGAAAUGUGGCUUUAAAACAAGUGAACAUCACCAUAUCCUCACAUCACAAGCAUCUUCAACUGUUGAAGCAAUCAAGUCAGACAUCAAACAACCUCCCAUGCACCAAACUAUCCAAUAAUAUGCUUUGCCUGAAAAUUAACUCUGACAGAUUAUUCAAGACUAAGCUAGUAACAUAAGUCACACAGAAUUUGUUCUCAAUAAUGAAAACAUAUUCUAGAAUAUUGCAUUUAUCCCAACUAGUGAAAGGAGGCUGAUAAAGGAAGAGAAUGAUAUUGUUUCUGCUCAUCAGCACUGAGCUGUCUCCAACUUCUAUCAUUUCCUUGAAGAGACUAGAUAUAUUUCCACCAAAGCCACCUAAAUACUUGAUGCUACUAAGUUUUCAAUUCAAGACUAAGCUAGUAACAUAAGUCACACAGAAUUUGUUCUCAAUAAUGAAAACAUAUUCUAGAAUAUUGCAUUUAUCCCAACUAGUGAAAGGAGGCUGAUAAAGGAAGAGAAUGAUAUUGUUUCUGCUCAUCAGCACUGAGCUGUCUCCAACUUCUAUCAUUUCCUUGAAGAGACUAGAUAUAUUUCCACCAAAGCCACCUAAAUACUUGAUGCUACUAAGUUUUCAAUCCAGUCCCAAGACAAACAUUCAUUUUCAAAGAAAUCAAAACUCAUUGAAGUGCUGCUAUAGCAGUUAUUUGUAUUUUGAGAAAAUUUUUGUAUGAGAAAAAUUCAAUAAUUGGCAAAGGAUAUGAAAUGCAUAGAAACCAUAUCACCUAUAGAUAAAACUGUUGAGUGGAUAAAAGGCGAAAAGAAAAGGAAUGAAUCUUUUCAACUUUAGCCAGCUAAAUCAUUAUAGCCAAAGGACAAAAAUUAAUCUUUACUGCAAGCUCACAACCUAUUAUGAAAAUGUCAUGGUAACAUAACCAUUGCAUGAAUAAAAACCAAACCUCAAUGCGUAAGUUCUCCCCCCUAUGCAUGGCAUUCAAGACUUGGUGAAUCUGACAUAUGGAGAAGAAAAUGAGAAGUUACUGGAAAGUUUUUCUUAAGUUCAAUUCCCAUUAUAAAAAACCCUAUAAUUUUUACUGAUGUAUAUCUUUUAUCUCAAAUUUAAUUGGUCAACUUAUGUAAUAGACAUUAUUUUCUCAAAAUUGACAAAUUAAUAAGCUAUGAAACAACAGUAUAAACAGAUUAUGUAAUAGAUAUGGGUUGCAUAAUUAGGAAUUGAGCAAAAUAAAGAUGAUUUUGGCAGCUUUUUCUUGAAAAAAAGUUAAUAACAAAGAAGAGGUAAAUAGAAAUCAUCAACAUCCAACAAAAUUGAACAGAUGAAAAAAAAUAAUGAAAAUAACCUAAGAGAAGAGAGAACUAUGGAGAUGGCACAUUUUAGUAGAGAGAGACUAAAAAGUGGCAUAUGACUGGUGUAAAUAACCUACACAUAAUCAAUUUGUGAUUGUGAAGAACAUCAAAUAUGAAAUACGGAGAACAAAAAGAACAUUACUAAUAGGUAAUAGCAAUUUAGAAAUAAAACUGUCUUCUUAGAAUUGAUUUAUGAUUUAUGUGUUUGUUUGUGUGAGUAUAUGAACCAUGUUUGUGUGCACACAGGGGUGUAAGUUUAUAUGCAUAUAAACACAAUACUAUGUAUAGAUGCGCAUCAUAGGAUUGGAUAACUACGGUAUUUCUAGAAUGCGACAAAUCAUCAUUAUCUUGAAAGCCAAAUGUGCUACUAUUUAGUACUAAAAUUAAUUGAAAGCAACCCUAUUUCUUAGACAUAUAAAUGUACAGAGGCAAUUAAGUUAAAAAUUAGCAAAAAAAAAAAAAAAAAAAACUGUAGACCACAAACCUCAGAUAUUAGCCGGUGUCUCCCUUCAAUAUCAGCAGCCAAUGCUCGCAAUGAGUGGGCCAUCCUAAGAACAUCAUCACCAUGUCUUUCCAAUAUGAAUGCUGACCUUGGGUAUGGUAGAUUAUUCCCUUGGCGGUUAGAUCCAGAUGGCACCACCGUCUCUUGUGGGGAAGUGGAAGGGCCUGAAGAAAAUGGUGGAAAAUGGCCACUGUGACCGCCAGAUUCAGAAUCAAUUGGAGGAAAUAAAGACCAAGGAGCAAAUUCGGAUAGUCUUUGUUGAUUAUGUAUUGGAGGGUUGUGAGGAGGAAUCCAGGCAGAAGCGGGCAAAGGAUGGAUGCUUGAACUAGGCCCUGGUCGAUUAGAUGGAAUUCCUCCAGAAGUGCUAACAUUUCCAGAAGCCAAACUCCAACCUGUAGGAUCUUGUGCCACAUUUCGCAUCUCAGUUGCUGGUACAAACAUGGGAUGCUCUGUAUUGUUUGUUGGAAUAUUUCUUAUGUUUGGUUCCUCCCAUAAUGCAGCAGCUCUCUCUCCAGAAUUAACAGAACUUGAUGGGUUGCCAACUCUUGAAUUGGAAGAACCAUUCCAAGGGAAAGGAUGCACAUUUCUAGGCACAACGGGAGUAGUCCUCAUAUGAGGUUGAGUCGAGGGAGAACCGGAAUUUCCUGCUAUUGCUGCUGUUGAUCUCAAGUCUAAACGAUCACUAAAUGGGGCAACUCUAGGGUGACUAGGAGAGCCAAAAUUCGAAUGCCCGGUAACUGUUGUUGAUGAUAAACUAAAUGGUAAAGAUUCUUGUUGGUUUCCCGGAUUUCCUCUUCUUACACUUGAGAAGGAAAUGCAUCACGAACAACCCCUCUCAAACCAAGCACAACUCUUGGAUUCAGCUGAUCAGGAUGACUUACAUUAAGAAAAUUCCGAGAGGGUGUAGAUAAACUCAAGCUGCUGGAAGCAUCAUUACCAGCAGGACCAUCAUGCCACGCCGCAUUUUCAAUUCGUUGAAAACAGCUUGAAGUACCAGCAGAAUAAGACUGUCCAGAAGUACCUUCAAGGGCCUUCCUCUUGCAGGAUAAACCACAACUGCCCAAAGAGGAGCCUGAACCAUCAUUAGUUUUGUCCCCCACAUAAUUAGAGCUUCCAGAUGAACUACCAAUAUUAUCAGAAGAAACAAUUGCAUUAGAUAUCUGUUCUCUUUCUAGUCCACCUGAGUUGUGGAGAUUAGGACCUCCACCAAUUCCCACACCUAAACCCCUGGUACCACUACUGCUAAUAAAUCCUUCAUUUAGAUUCACAUUCUGCAGGACACGAUUAGAGCUGGAACCCUGCAUAUAUAUGGGCCCACUUCUUACCUGAUUGCCACUCUGUCCAUUAUUCAGUCUCCCAGGAAAAAAGACAUUCGGUGGUUCGAUCCGCAUUUCUUCUGACCUUGGAGCAACCCCAACACGAGCACCGUGAGAAGAAGACCAACUGCAUUCCAUUUUUGUCCCAUCAUCAUUAAGAUGGUGAUUUAGAACACCCUGCAUCACCUGGUUUUGCAGUCUCAAUCUUGAGCUCCGUUCACCAGAACUCCAGCCACUGAAGCUCUGAAUAUCGGGAAUAAUAGCAUUUCCAUGCAUUGUCCCACCAGAAGAUACUGUAUAACUGGAUAACUGAGUUUCCGCAGGAUUCAGCAUGUUAGGCAAAGAAUUCGGUUGACCGAUAGUGGUGUUUUCGGACUAGAUCCCUCAUCAAUGUUAACAGUUUCAGGGAAGGUAUCAAUGGUGCCCCCCUGACCUUGCAUCAGGGACAAUAUCUACCUAGAAAUAUGUCAGAUAUGCUAAAUAUUAUUCCAAAUUUCCAAAACAAAUGCCUGUUCAAUCUGCGUGCUUCUUAGGUCAAAAUACAAAAGGGAUACACAAGCACAGGCCAGUAGUUGAAAUCUGAAAAAUAAGCACAACAUCAAAUUCUCAUUUUAGUUAUGAAAGGGAAAAAAGAAGAUAGAGAGGGGUUAUGCAAUGCAGGAAGGAAAUUAUGUAAAGUAUUUUAAAAAAUCACAAUAUUCCAACCAACUUACAAAAUAAUUUCUGAAACUCCUGAAGUCUUUAGCUUUCCCAGGUAAUAUAGGAUUGACCAGUUGCAUUUGGUGUAUCACAUAUUUCAGCAAGCGAAAGCCCCAGCCACUAUCAUCUUGAACCCAAAGAAACACCUCUCAGUGACAACAGAUAUUGAUUUUUGACAGGAGGUGCAGGCAAGUAACUAUAUUUUACAUAGCAUGCAACGAGAAAUCCCAAUAGGUCAAGUAGAUCAAAACAAAAACAGAGUACCAAUAGUUUUAACUUCUAAAAUGCCAGCUCAAUUAGAGAUCAAUAUAUGAACUUGUAUUGACAGGUUUAUGGUUAUAAGGAAAGCAGUUGAUUGACUAUUUCUUUAUCCCAAGAGACUUUCCGCAUGGAAUGCACAAGGCAGUAAUUGUCUCGUUCAGGGCAUUCCAAGCAUAAAUAGCAGAUGAUCCACAAAACAAAAAAAUUCUGGAAGUAGGAAGCAGCAAAUAACAAGAGGAUUAACCAAACCUAACAAGCUAAAAGAGAAUGUUUACAAGAGAUCGCCUCUGAGUCUAUCAAGCAUCACCUAAUGACACAUUGGUAAAGGAUAAAAUGUUCUUCCAAUAAAUCAUUCAGUCUAAGAUAAUAUGCCCAAGAUGAGCAACUGUUAUGUCUUUCCGCUCAUAACCCGCUCCCUCAUACAUUAUAAUUGUUGUUUAAUAGUAUAUUGAAACGACUAAAACCAGUUGAACAAGAUAUUUUUAUUGUUUUUACUUUUCAGAUCCUACUGUCUUGAGAUUCAAGAUACGUGAGGCUGUUACUUUGUUCUUUUAUUGGCAUAGUCCCUUUCAAGCAACAUAGAUAAACAUGCAGGAUACAAACUCAAACUCACAUUUCAGAACCGCACACAUGCAAAUGCACCUAAGCAUAUGCAAAAUCAUGUUACCAGAACUGACCAGCUCAAAUUUUGUGUAAUUAUUUUUAACACUAAUUAACCUAGCCUUUUUAUCAACUCAUCUGCUGAACAUUCAUAAUCAAGAUGACUUCAAGACUCAUAAUUAGAAAUCCAAAGCAACUUAGAUACUUGGGAAAAAGAUGGCAACUUUAAGCCAGAUUAGCAAAUCAAUCUUUCUUCCAACAUCUUUUCUGCCUUCCAUUUUGACAUGUAAAGAUACUCUAUUCGCAAGCACUCUAUUCUUGUGCAAAAUCACAAAGCUUUAUAACUAGUCAUUCACAUUAAGUGCAGAAUCAAGCAGUAAAAUUCCAGUACCAUGACCAAAUGGAAACAAAGAAAGUGGCCAUUGCCACAAACCUACAACUCAACCAUAAAUUCAUCAAUAUUUUCAUGCAUUGUCAUCCAUAAUCAGGUGCAAGCUAGAACUAUAAUAAAGAACCAAUUGAUGAACACUGAAAAAGUAGUAUCAUAUACAAGCACAAUGCUAUUAAAAUUAUUACCACAUAUAAUGUGCUCGAUAUUCAAGACUUAGCUUCGACUCGCAAACAGGGAAGAAUUCAAGAUCUUUUGGCAAGAACAUUCAGACUAUUGCACUAAAUGCUUAGAAGCAAUUCAAGCAGAUCAAAAGGAAUAAAAUGCUGGGAUUGCGGGAACCGGAGAUCAAAUGUCACUUGUUCAAGCCUCAAAUUACAAAAUCAACAAAACGCAAUUUGAAGAAGCAGGAUCUCAACUGUCUAAGUAUGCAAAAUUAAGCAUCUGCAUCAAGAAAAAAAAAUUAACAAACCAUUAAACUAAAUGGAAACAACCAAAAAGGUCUUUUAAAAUCAUCUAAGCUGCUUCUUGUACUAGUAAAGCUUUGAUUUUUGGACAAAAAUCCGACAAAACAAGAAAACCCAAUACUAUUUCUUCCUCUAUUUAGUAAAAAAAAAAAACCAAAUUUAGCAUCAGAUGAUAAAUUGAGAUGCUCAUAUCCAAAUAUUUGACCGAAAAUUUUAUUUUAUGUGAAAAAAACGAAAAAUGAAAUAGCAAAUGCUUGUAGAUAAAUACCCAUUGAAAAAAAAAAAAACUUUGCAAAGAACCCAACAUGGGUCGACCUCGAUCCCUCGUACACUUUAAAAAAAAAAAAUCGAAUAAAAAAAUAAAGUAAACAACCAUAAAAUUAGCAAAAACAAAGAAAUCCCAGGACAAAAUAAAACGAUUUAAAAGAAAAAUAUUUUAGAACAUUAAAGCUAAUAUAUUUUAUUUAAAAAAAUCGCAUGGGUGAAGAGAAAUACCUGAAAAAGAAAGCUGAGAUGAUGAAACGAAGAGCGAUAAAAAAUUGGGUUUUUGAGAUUAAAAGGGUAUUAAGAGAAACAGUUGUCAAGAGAGGAAUCAGGGGCGUUUCUUCAAUUCGUUUCAUCCUGUUCUUUUUAUUUUUCAUUUUUUGGGGGAGUUUUUGGACUUUUCUCUUGCUCUCCUUAUUUUGCAAGAGAAGUAGAUCAUCGGAAUAGGACAAGACCAAAAGCCUGAAACAAUGGAUGAGAAACAGACAGAAAGAGAAAGAGAGUAAGUGUAUUUUGUUUGUAAUAUUGGUUUUUUUUUUUUAUUGAAUUUGUAAUAAGAUAAAUUCUGAAAAUAGGUACAACUUUUUGAAUAUAAAUAAAAAUAACAAAAAAAACAAAGUUUUUGUCUUGAAGUCUUUAAGUGCUUGAGGCAUUUUGUUGUAGACGUAUCUUUCAUGCAUUACCAUGGGCCCCAUUACUCGUUUUUUUUUUUUAUUGUUAUUUUCUGUCUAAUAAAAAUGUAAAUUAAAAAAAAAGUAGUUAAACCUCGGAGCCAGCCGGGGAAGGAUUUGGAUGAAGUUUAGCAAGCAAGACAAACGCAAUUACAGGCCAUGGUUACUAAAAUUGGGCCAAAUAAUUUUUAUUUGGUUGCGGAGGCAAGCAAGGCUUCUAGAAUGCCCAGAAUGGUUUUUUGGGUUAUUCCAACACCCAACUUCAUCAUUUCAACAUAAUGGCCAUUGUUAUUGGGGCUUCAAAAGAUGAAUGUUCAGAUGGAGGAGUUAUUCGGCAGCACCUUUUUAUUUUUAAUAAAAAAUUAUAAAAUAAAAACUACAUAUCUUAAAAUUUAAAUUUAAAAAAUAUUAUUUAUUAAUGAUGAUAGAAUGAAUUAAUAAAAUUAAAUUUCCAGUUGAUUUAUCUUUUAAUUUUGAUUUGGCUUGAUUUGUAAAAUAUAAAAAAAUUAUAUGUUUUUUUUUAAAUAUCCUCAAAUUUUUUAUUAGCAAUUAUUUGAUUUAAAGGAUUUGAUAAAUGGUUUCACUUAUUACAAUAACUAAUUUUAAGUUUUGGGGUCAAACAAUCCAAUUUUUUGUAUUCUACCCAUUUAUGUUUAUAAAAUAUGUCUACGCAUUUUCUUCUUAAUACUAUCCCUCUUCCAACUUAAUAUAUAUAUAUAUAUAUAAAUCACAAUUUAAAAAUAAAUAAAUAAAUUAUAAAUAUUAUAUAAAAUUUUAAUUUAUUAAAAAAUUUUAAAAAUAUCUACAUGAAUUAAGUAAAUUAAAAUUUGUUAUCAUCUUAAAUACUUUCAAAAUUAUUUAUUGCCAAAAUUUUUUUUAAUAGUACUAGUGUACUACAAAUUUCAAGGCACCUCCUCUCCGAAAAAACAAUGAAGUAAUUCAAAGCAUCCUAAUAUUUUGUCGUAAUAAACUGGAACUUAAUCCUUUUGGGUUAUAAGGAAAGCCCGUUGGAUCAUAUAAAUGACUAGCCCAAAAAAUGAAAUGUGAGCAGAAAAAUGCAGUGGAAAUGUGGAAUUGAAAAAGUGGAUGACCCACAAGCAGGUUCCAAAAAUUACAAAUUCCACACGAGCAAGCAGGUAGCCAGGUGUGUUCAAGUGUUGGGUCCUCCCUGAUUCACGUACCCAACACUCUCUGACACAAACCUCGAUUCCCAAGAAGACCAAUUCCUCAUUCCCCGACAAAAAGGCACGUUAUGGAUCCCCGGAAAUUGUCAGCUUUACUCUCUUCCCUUGUCUCUCAAUUCCUUUUAUUGCUUCUCCUUCUCUUCAAUUCUUACAAUUCCAAUAAUUUCGUUUCCGAUGGCAGCGUCUUUUCCAUCCUCAACUAUUUGCUGUCAUCGCAAGAAAUCGCCGCUAAUCUUUCCUUCGUUUCUGUUUCCAGGAAAAGGAAGAGAACCCGUUGUCCAGAAUCUGAAUCUGAACCCAUAGGUGAAGACGCGGGCCGUGAACUUUUACAUCGACUCGACGAUGACCGAGUCAGACUCUGCUUGACUCGGAAUCCUGACUCGUUCAAAGCCUGCUUUAGAAUGAGAUCUUCUAAUUUUGAGUGGCUCGCUGGGUUGCUCGAGCCGCUGCUAGAGUGCCGUGACCCGGUUGGCUCACCGUUGAAUCUAUCGGCUGAGUUAAGGCUUGGUAUUGGUUUAUUCAGAUUAGCCACCGGUUCAAGUUACCCUGAAAUCGCUCAACGAUUUGGGGUUUCCGAGUCUGUGACUCGUUUCUGUGCUAAACAUUUGUGCCGCGUUCUUUGCACCAAUUUCCGAUUUUGGGUUGCAUUUCCUAGUCCAGAGGAACUAAAGUCUGUAUCUUCAUCUUUUGAACAAUUUACGGGGUUGCCAAAUUGUUGCGGCGUUAUUUCUUGCAAUAGAUUCAAUAUUAUAAAUGAAAACAAUGGAAGCAUUGAUAGCAUUGCUGUUCAGUUAGUGGUGGAUUCAUCAUCAAGAAUUUUGAGCAUUGUUGCUGGUUUUAAGGGAGAUAAGGGUGAUUCUCUAGUCCUUAAAUCUUCAACUCUGUAUAAAGAUAUUGAGAAAGGGAGGUUACUCAAUUCAAGCCCAGUUAUGGUUAAUGGAGUGGCUAUAAGUCAAUAUUUGGUUGGCGAUGGAGGGUACCCUUUGCUUCCGUGGUUAAUGGUACCUUUCGUUGAUGUGGUUCCAGGGUCAAGCGAAAUGAAGUUCAAUGUGGCACUUAGUCCAAUGCAUGUUUCAGCAUUGAAAACUUUUGCUAGUUUGAGGAAUUGGGGAAUUUUGAAUCAACCAAUGCAAGAAGAACUUAAGACUGCGGUCGCAAUUAUUGGGGCUUGUUCAAUUCUGCAUAAUGUUUUGCUUAUGAGAGAGGAUGAUUCUGCAUUGUGUGAAUGGAUGGGAGAUUACUUGGUGCAUGAUCAGAGAUCUCAGUACUAUGAGGAAGCUAGCUUAGAUGAGAAUUCAAUUAGGAAAGAGGCUUCUGUUAUUCGAGAUGCAUUGGCAACAGAAGCUAGAGAAGCUCAUGUGUCAAGUUUGGGAGGCGAUCCAAGAAGUUCAGUAUAAUUGUAGCUCAACUAGAUUGCUUGAUUCAGUUUCAGAGUCUAAAUAUUACCGGAUUGUGACCAUUCAUGAUUCAACAAUUUUGAAAUAAGUGAUUGACAAUUCUUUUGCUCAUUUGAAACGAAAAUAAUUCCACCUGGAUUAGGCAUUUUUUCACCCUGGCAUUACACAUUCAUGACAGCAAGGAACUCUUUCCCUUUGUCUCCCUUUUUUUUUUUUUUUUGGUCUACCAAUUGAUUUUUGAAGAUGAAUCUAUUUCAGCAUCCUCCGUAGAUAUCAAUGGAAAAUGUAAGGAUUCUUCUGUCUGAUUGUAGUAGUAUUUAUUGGAUGGUAACUAUUUUUAAUUCAAUAGAAAGCAUGUUCUUUGUUUUCUAGUGCAACAAGUCUAUUACUUUUUAUUGAGAAUUGGAAUGGUAGAUUAUAAACCACACAUUGCAAAGAGACAUGGUUCCUUGUAAAGACAAACUGCUCAAAAAUAAAUAAAGGAAAUUACCGAAGAUUGUAAUCGUUGACGAUGUAUUGUUCUAAGCAACAACAUGAUGCGCUGUGACAAUGAUUUAACUGAAAUUAUGACAUAAGAUGGAGAGAAUUUGGCAUGGUUAACUCAUUCUGUUGCAGUGCUUGUUAAAUUUGUCAUGGUUUUAACAAGUAGUGUGUUUUUAUCUUUGGCCAAAAAAAAAAAAAAACUCAUUAUAUUGCAGUUAGUUUUCUCUAUUUCGAGUUCCUUCAUAUUUUAAUUAUUACUUUUUUUCCAAGAUAUAGAUGGGUGAUCAAGUUGGUUUAUGAUUUAAAACGACAGAAAAUACAGUAGGUGUGCUCGGACACACACCCCGACGGAAAUGUAGCUUCCAAUGCCUGUAGUCCUUGACCAUUGCAAGGCUUUAUCUGCUAUUCACAAACCUCAUGCAGAAAAGUGCUUUGUUCUUUACUACAAUUCAGUUUGGGGUUGAAUACAUGCAGAAAAGUAUUAUUGGAGAUUUUUUGCUUAAAAAUAUCAUAUAGUAUUUGAAUUUUUUUCAGUUGUAACAAACGACUGAACAUGCACAAUAAGUAUGAUGACCCUACACUCAUUGAUUAAAAUCCUGUAGGGAACUCAUCUAAUGCUAGGAGUAGGGUAUUGCGGCUAUUAAAUAUGUGAUUUGUCUUAUUAUGUAUCUUCAGCUUAUUUCAUUUCUGAAUCCAAUUUCACAAACUUUCAUUCUUCAUUCAAUUGUUGGUGACCUGGAGUAAUCAUAAGGAUUGUCUUACACAUCAGACUUCUUCUCCUUCUCUGGAAUACCAAGGCAAUUGUGUGAACUGUCUGUUGACAGAAAGAGAUAUCUGUUUCUGAAACACUGUUGCUGCAUUCUACCUAUACCCCGAACUGUACUUAUUUUUUAACCUGGAGGAGGAAAGGAUGGAUGAUAUAAUGCUUAAUCUGUAUUUAUAAGUGAUAUAAUCUUCCUACAAAUGGAACCAACAAUCUCAGAAAAGCACUGUAGAAAGAAAUGUCCAUUGCCAAAAUCUCACAUCCGAAGUCUAAAAACCAGGAUUCUUCAUGAUUCCCUUACCAAUCAAUCAAAAUCUCAUAGAUUUCCCUAUACUGAAAAUAAAGUUUGAAAUUGAAACAUAGCAAGAAAAAGCAGUGUAUUUUAUGUUAUCAGACUGCAGCUAGAAGAUUUCUGAUUUUGGGUGAUCAAAUUAUGAUACAAGAUCAUUGUCAACUGAUACAAGAGUAAAAACACUGGUGAAAUAAAGGAGCCUUACAGUCUUGUGGCUUGAAAUUUGUGGCCUUUGUGUCAAGGGACACCAGGAACAACAGAGCUGGAAAGACUUAUCCAAACAAUUCUAAUAAUCUGGUGUCUGGAAAUGAAUUAAUAACCAAAAACCUUACAAGAACUUUCAACUUUGCUCUUUCAUAUGCUUAAACUGCAGCUUUCUUUUGAGAACUCUCCAUACACUACAAGAAAAUGGCGUAUUAACGGUAAUUUUGUAGCGGCAUUUCACUUAUAAACACCGUUAACUUCCGUAUUUUUAUAAAACUUAAGACAUUUAUUAUAAAAAUGCCACUAAAUAUUCAAAUAGCAGCGUUGUUACUUAUAAACGCUACUAAAAACAAAAAUUAGCAGCGUUAAUCGAUUAAAAUGCUUUGAAUAAUCCUUUCUAAAAAAUUGGAGUGAUUAUUAAAGGCCUUUUUUUACAAAAAAAUGCCAUGAAUAAUCUUCUUAUAAAAAAUAAAAGCAAUUAUUGAUGGCGUUUUUUUGUAGAAAAUGCCUUCGAUAAUUUUUUAAAAAAAUUGUAGAGGAUUAUUAAAGGUGUUUUUGGUAAAAAAACACAUUCAAUAAUCUUUUCAUUUUUUAUGAGCACAUUAUUCAAGAUGUUUUUUGCUUGAAACAUCUUCAAUAAUCUCCUUAUAAAAAAUUAAGGGGAUUAUUGAAGGCGUUUUUUUUCAGAUAACGCCUUCAAUAAUCCCUUUAAAAAAUUAGAUGAGAUUAUUGAAUGUAUUCUUGGCUAAAAAAUUACAUCAAUAAUCUCCUCUAAAAAAAUUAGAAGAGAUUAUUGAAGGCAUUUCAAAAACGCCUUCAAUAAUUUUCUCAUCAAAAUUUAAGGGGAUUAUUGAAGGCAUUUUUUUUACAAAAAAAUACCUUCAAUAAUCUUCUCUAAAAAAUUUAAGAGAAUUAUUGAAGGUAUUUUUUUUAUAGAAAAUACCUUCAAUAGUCCUUUCUAAAAAAUUUAAGAGGAUUAUUGAAGGUGUUUUUUGCCUGAAAUGCCUUCAAUAAUCUUUUUUGCAAAUAGUGACAUUUGUUUAAAGUAAAUGUCACUAUCGUGAAAAAAUGACGCGCAUAAAAUUUUUCUUCAAAAUUUAAACCCCAUCUUUCUUCUUUAUAAUUUCAUUUCUUUCCCCAACUUUUUUAUUGGAAGAGAAUGGUAAGAAAGAAAAUUUAAAUCAAGAAGAUUGACAACGUAGCAACAAGGCGGGUGACUUUCUCAAAGAGAAGAUGAUGACUUUUCAAGAAAACUCAUGAGCUUUCCACUUUUUGCGAUGUUGAGAUAGCUCUUCUAGUCUUUUUAACCACAGGAAAGCGCUUUAGGUACUUCAACACAAGGUUGCUCUCACUUAUCUCAUAUCUACAUGUGAAUGCUUUGCCUUGAUUUCUGCUCUAUCUCUGUUGGUUUAAUAUGAAAAUCUUUGUUUGCUGUUUGAUUUAAUGUGUUGAAUGUGCUUGGGUGAGUGUGAGAGGAAGUGAGAAACGUAAUUGUUUUGAAAAAAAUAUUUUCAAAUCAAGGGAAUUGUAUAAAGUAUAAAUUCAUAAUAACUGAAUGUACUUGAAUCUUGUAUUCUAUUACAAAAAGAACUUCUUUUAAUAAUUUGUUGAAGCUGAGAGGUUUUGGGCUGAGAGGCCAUGGUUUCAGAUGAAUGUUUGUAUGAUAUUUGUUGAUGCUUGUUCGUACUUUCCUGAACCUUCUUUAAGCCAUAUUUUAUGACUAAUCAGAUAUCUUAUAAGAAGUUUAUGUUUUCAUAUAUCUUUUCUGGUGCAACUUAGAGCACAAACUGAUAUUUUAACUUUCAUUUUUCUUGUCAAAACUUGAUCUGCUGUCAUUUUCAUUUUCUUUCCAACCAAACAACUUUUAAUUUUAGUUUUCUUAAUUGAAUCUUGUUACAAUUUUAGGUUUCCUACAUUCUUUUUGAAUGUUCUUUAAGAUUUUCAUAAUGAAAUUUACAAAUUCUCAUGAUUUCCUUUUCAAAUUCUGCAAAAUUCACGUUGAACUUAAAUCUGGUUUCAAAAUCGUACACCUGACCUAUCUUCAGUGUUUUGAUCAAAACUCAAUGAAUUCUACCUUGAUUUACUUCAAAUGUUUUUCCUAGAUUCUUAGUUCAUAAGGCUAUAAUCUAGUAAAAAUUCAGCCUCAAAUUCCAUCUAUACAAGUAUAGUUAAAUCUUCAAAGUUAAGGCUGAAUUCAGAAGAUAGAAAUGAUCCAUGCAUGAAAACUUGAUGAAUGAUGAUCCUCUGUCCUUAUAGGUGUUCGAUUUGAUUCUCUCAUACUUUACAUUAUUAGUUUUACAUGUUUACUCAUUAUUUUUAAUUGAUUGCAUUUAUUUUCAUGAAUUCAUUUGGUGUUUGGAUAGAUUUAGUUGUUAAUGCUCUGUUUUUCUCUGUUUUAAGUAUCACUUGAGUUACUAGUUCAUAAAGCUAUUUUUCUCUAUUUUGCUACCAUUUUCUAGUUGAAUUUUGUAGCAAACUUGAUUAAUAAAUUGUAGUAAUUGAAAGGUGCAUACUGUAGACCUAUAAACUUGGAUUGGUCCUAUAUACUUUUUUCAAUUACUGUCUAAUGAUUUCAUGAUAUAGUUUUGGCUGCUACUAAGUCUAAAAAAGCAUUGAUCUCUAUAGACACAGCUGUACCAUCAAUUUAAAGUACAACAUAGUUGAUUUAUCCAUUACAUAAUUUGUAUUUCUCUCUUGAAACUCUAUUGCGUGGACAUUUUAUUUUGAAUGAUUGGUUUAUUUCCCUCUUGAAGCAUUUGAAUCCAUUUAUUUCUAUGAAUUUAUUUACAAGUAGAAAAUAUGAUUUGAAAUGGUUUAUCUUAUAAACUUCAUGGAAUCAAAUGAUCUUUAUCUUUUUCCAAUGCAAUCAAACAUGAACUUGAUUGAAGAUCUAUCUCUCAGCCUUUCAUAUAUUCUCUUUCUCUCAAAUUAUAUGAUACUGCAUUUCAAGUCUAGAAAUUUCAUAAUGAUAUAUGCAAAAUGGAAGAACUACGAUUAUGAAAGGCAUUUUCGUGAAAUGCACUCAGAGAAGAAGUGUACAUCAUUUUGCCUUGUGCAUUUAUCUUGAUCAUUGGCCAAAAAUAUAUACUUAGUUUAUUACUUUGGUUAAAUCUGUUUCUCUGUUGUUUCUGCAUGUAUGUAAAAAUGAGAUCUUGUAUAUCUUCUUUGAUUUUAUCUUGCAUUACAAAUUUUAUGAUAGUUUUUAUAACUUACCAAGUGACAUUUUUCAAUUAGGAUGGAACAUGAAGUUGUGGAGAAGAUAAAUGAAAUGUAUUGUGAUGCAUUUCUAACAACACAUUUUGAGGUUCCUGAAAAAAUGUUCUCUUUAGCAAUGGAAGCCAAGAUGAGGACUGGGCAUUGUAGGCUUCAUUCAAAGCAAGUGCGACUCCUUUUAUGAAGUCCAUUAAUGGGCAAGAAGAAAACAAGUGUAAAGUGAAAUGUUAUUGUAUGUAUUAAACUUUGUGUUACAUACAUAUUGGAACAAAUUAUGUAUUUAGAUAUUUAAAUAUUUAUAAUAUUCAGUUUAUGAAUUUAAUUCAUUUUUAUUUCUUUUAAUAAUUUUCAUUUAAUUAUAAUAAAUAUUAAAAAAAAAAAGGAAAAUUUUUUAUUUAGCGACGUUUGUAUUUAAAAAUGCCACUAAAUACUGAAUUUAGUAACGUUUUUAUUAGAAAAUACUGUCAAAUUUAGUGGCAUUUUUACUAUAAAUGUCGUUAUUUUCAGUAUUUAGUAGCAUUUUUAAAUACAAACGUCGUUAAAUUAGCAAUAUUUUUUUUAUACAAAUGUCACCAAUUUAAUGGUAUUUUUAUGAUAAAAACGUCAUUAAAUUAGUAGCGUCUUAAAGAUACAAAUGCCACUAAUAUAGCUACGUUUUUCAGAUGCAAACGUCGCUAAUAUAACGACAUUUUUUAGAUACAAAUAUCGUUAAUAUAACGGUAUUUUUUUUGAAAAUGCUGUUAUUUUUUGCGAUGUAUGUAUAGUCACCGUAGACACUCAAUUUGAUCCAGGUUCAGAUCAAUUGGGUCUGGUCCAAAUGGGGCAAGAUGGGUCCAUUUUUAUUUUUAUUUAUUAUUAUUAUUAUUUAUUUUUAUUUUAUUUUAUUUUUUUAGACUUUAUCUUUUCUUGAUUAAUUCUUGGUUAUGAGAUAAUAAUCAGAUUAAUUAAGAAUAAUAAAAAAAUAAUGAUGAAAAUAAAUUUUGUCAUGAAUCUGGGGGUUGGUAGAGUUUGGAUUGGAUUCAAAAAUUAAAUCCCAAUCACAAAUGAAAUUGGGAUUGAUCAAAAACUCUUCUGAUAAAUCCUUAUAAAUAAACGUUGGAACAGAUAUUAGAGGACAUGAAAUAGAGGGUAGAAAAUCGAAAGCAAGAAUUAAAAAAAUUUUGCAAGAAGUUAGAAGCAAUUUUAGGAUUUUUUAGGAAUUUUUCAAAAUUUUUGGUUUUUUUUUUUGGAAAUUUUUUGGAAAUUUUCCAAAUUUUGAUGAAUUUUUUCAAAGCUAGUUGAAUUUUUCGAUAAGUUUUUCGAUGUCGAUUGAAUUUUUCGAUAACGUUUCCCGAAUCCGAUAAAGAUUCCAGUGAAUGUUGAAUUUUUUUACGAACUUUCGACAACCUAACCCACAUUUCAGUGAUCAUUUUUAGAAUUCGGUUGAUAUUCAACCGGUGUUCAUCCGGUUAGAGAAAGAGGGAGAAAAGAGAAAGAAGAAUAGAGAGAAAAAAAAAAGAUCUGAAGCAAAAAAAUUGAAACUUGGGCUUUUAUAGCCUUAUCAAAACGAUGUCAUUUUGAGUUUAAAAAAGUCCCAAGAUCCAUGCAUUUUCCAUUCGACCGACCCGACCUGCAGCACGACCUGUUUUUGACCCCCGCCUCAGCCAAUCUUUUCGGUCGAGCCGAGCCACCAAGCUACAUCAUCCAAGCCUUUAUCUGUGCCUGGAGUUGAGUCACACCAACUCUUCAGCUGAGCCGUUUUGAUUUUUUUUUUGUAUUUUUUUAUUUUCUUUAGUUUUUUUGGUUUUUUUAUUUAUAUGUUUUUUUAAGUGUAUUUUUUGCAUGAAUUAAUUUUAAUAUAUAUAUAAUAUAAAUAUAAAAUAACAUUUUCAAGAAAAAAUAUUUUUAAGAAAAAGUUGAAAGUAUCAAUUUUUCUUAAAAAUAAAAUUUCUAAAAAAUAAAAAUUUUUAAAAGAUAUUUUUGAUAAAAAGUUGAAAGUAUCAAUUUUUCUUAAAAAUAAAAUUUCUAAAAAUAAAAAUUUCCAAAAGAUAUUUUUGAGGAAAAGUUAAAAAUAUCAAUUUUUUUAAAUUAAAAUAAAAAAAGGUAUUUUGCGAAAAAGUUGGAAGUACCAAUUUUUCUUAAAAGUAAAAAUUAUUAAGAAAAGUAUUUUGAUGAAAAGUUGAAAGUAUCAAUUUUUCUUAAAAUUAAAAUUUCAAAAAAAUAUAUUUUGAAAAAAAGUUGAAAGUACCAAUUUUUUUAAAAAAUAAAAAUUAUCAAGAAAAAAUAUUUUAAGAAAAAGUUGAAAGUAUCAAUUUUUUUUUAAAAUAAAAAUCUCUAAAUGCUUUAAGGAAAAGUUGAAGGUAUCAAUUUUCUUUGCACAAAAGCAAUAAGGUUUUUUUUUUUUGUAGAAAAUGAAAAGAAAAAUAUUUAUAUCAAAAGUUGAAUCAUUUUUUUCUUUCUUUUCUUGAAAAAUUUUUAAUGUUAAAUAAUCCAACGAUGAAGUCUCUGUAAAUGAAACAGUAGUUUUCUUGCAUAUUCUUGAGGUGAUAGAAUUUUCUUAAUUUUCUAUCAAAAGUAUUGAAGUUAAUUAAGAAUAAUUUCUAAUAAUUAAUUAUUUGAUAAAAUUUUUAAGGCUUAUCGGAUAACAUGAAAUUAAGUUAGUACUAUAUUUCGAUAGGUGUUGUAAGGGUACUAUAACUUUUCUCACUCGUAACCAAACUUUCAAACGUUAUUUUGGUUAAUAAACCUAAACCUAUUUUUUUAGGGACCCUUAGUCAAGCUUAGGUGUUCUUUGGAAGGAUAAAUUCCUUAGGUGACCAAUCGCACCUAAAUAAAAAAAAUUGAUGACAACUCCUUAAGUCAAUGUCUAGCAAUAGAUCUCCAGAUCUAUAUAUUAUGAUAGUUUGUUGACUCCAUUGGGGACUACUGAACAAAAAAUCUAUUCAAAAAUCUAUACUUUGUUAAUUUCAUCAUUCAUAUGCAUGUGCAUAACAUGAGCUCUAUACUCGUGCUCAAUCUCUCUAGGAAGGAGUAAAGUACCUAUUACUUUCGUGAGGUUUUAAUGCCUCCACAGUGGCUAGCGAAAUACUCUCACUCAAAUUGAACCUUUUUCGCUUGUAACCUGUAAUGCACGAAGAUUAGGGUGCCUUACUAGUCUGUAAUAGAUAAUGAUGUAAGAAGCAAUUUGAAAACCUUUAGACUUUAAGCUCGAACCACAUAAAAUGAACCUUAGAAAUCCCUAACCUAUAGAUAGAGCCAUCUCCUUCCCUUUUAAAUUGAUCAAAAGCAUAUGAUACAUUCCUCUUAUUGUGUGUGACAUUUUAAUUUAUUUAGUUAUUAUUUGUCCCUUUUUAUUUGAUGUACUAACCUCUUCUCUUAUUCAUGUUUGCAUGAUCCAUACUCAUAUCAUAAAGUUACAUAAAGAAUAUUUACCUAAAAGAUGAUCUUCAACAACAAGUUUUUCAUGGACUCCACAGAACGACUAGUUUGUUUUUCAUCUGUAUUAGCUCAUUGUGAGUCACCCAACGAAGUAAAGGUCCAAUUAGAAAAGAUUCAACUAAAGAUGCGGGAUUGUUUACCAAUCAGCUAUGUUUCUACUUUGUCUAAAGAGACAUCUUUCCUUUUCAAACAAAAUAAUAUAAAAGAUUUGGUUGAUAUAUGGAAGAAGAUGAGUCCAUCAAGAUAAGAAAAGUUUUGCUAGAGACAUGAGCAUAUGGCAUACCUUCUUGCAAUAAAUAUCGACAAUCAAUUAAUUAGAGCUAUAGCGUAAUUCUAAGAUCUUACAUACAAGUGUUUCAUCUUAAAUAAAGUUGAUAUGAUACCUACCAUCGAAGAAUAUUUGACUUUGUUGGGUUUGCACCUCAAAGCUCCUGACAAGAUAUACGUCAAAAAACACAAGUCAAAAUUUCGUAAAGAUUUAGCCCAUCUCAUGGGGAUAGAUAAAGAGAUUGUGGAUUCUCAUACAAAGAAGAAACAAGAACAGGUUUGCCUACUUUGAAAGUUUUUUUAUGAUUUUCUAGUAAAACAUGCCGACGAAAAAGGGAGGUUAGACAUAUUUGCCUUAGCCAUAUAUGAAAUUAUGGUUUUUCUGAAAGUUUUGGGUUAUAUUGAAAUAGCAGUGAUUGACUUCUUCGAAAGUGUGAUCAAUGGCUGUAACCCUUCAACAGUAAUAUUAACAGAGACUAUCAGAUCUUUGAGUUAUUAUCGUCAAAAUGGAGGAUAUUUUAUAGGUUGCAUACAAUUAUUGUACUUAUGGAUAAAAAGUCAUUUCAAGUGGAGAAAAUGUGCUUUCUCGAAGCUUUAUGUCAGCAAUUGAGCUUCGAUCAAGAAAUUUUAUGAAAGUGAGUGGUCAGAGUAAAAGUCUAAAAAUGAGUGGAUAGCUUUCUUACAAAAACUGACAAGUGCUAAAGUAAGAUAGUUAGUCCCGUGGAUGAAUCAUGAACCUAUGCUAUAUCAGUGUAGAGAUAACACUAUGGUCUUACUUCUGGGUUUAUGGGGAGUAACAAGUUAUGUGUCACUUCUAAUAAGAAGCCAGUUUGGGGCAGAACAGUUCAUUCCUGUGACGCAUAAGCUUCAUUAAUCAAAAUUUUCUUAUAGUGAGCCAAAAGCAUUUCAGAAGAUGAAUGAGGUAAUUAAAGCAUGAAAAAAUCCCUGUAAAAUGAGUCUUAGACCAUUUAUUGAUAAGAUCACUUAGGGGUACUUGGUUUGGAGAGCAAGAUGAAGAUAAAAAAUGGUAUUCACUUAUGAAAGAUUUCAAUCACCAAUAAAAGAAAAGCUUGAAGAGACACUAUUAGAAUUGAAGCUGGUAAUAAAAAAAUUUGAGAUAAAAAAAGAUAAGUUAAAGUAAAAAAUCCAAAAGCUUCAAGAGAAGAAGGAUCAAUGGAAAGACAGAGCUGAAAAGCAUAAAGUCAAAGUUUACAAAAUUGCUAGGGAAUGUGACAUAGCUAUUAAAGACUUAACGGAGCUACACCAUUAAUAUAAGAGAUUAUGUGUGAAGUUACAAGCCAAAGAGAUAACAAUUAUUAAACUGAUAGAUGAAAAUAAGCUAUUGACGUAAAAAUAUGCUAAAUUAAAGGAAGUAACCCAAGUACAGAUAAAAAGUAACAUAUUGAACAGCUACUUAAGCAAGUUGAGAUAAAAGUUGAAUGACCAAGAAGAUCACAUUACUGUAUUGGUUAGAGAGCAUAGAGAGUUAUCAUACAAAAUUUGGUAUGAUAAAGGGGAAAACCUAAGAAGAUAGAAGUACAUUGAGCACUUAAUGACCUAAAUUUACAAAAAGGGUAUGUAAGAUAAGAGAAAUGGUAAAAAAGGCAGAGGCAUUGAAACAAGUGGUGGCCUAGUAAGAGAACAUGGGCAGCGUCUUUUGAACUUCAUCGAGGAAGCUAAAGACCAGUAUGAAUAGAUCAAACGAUUUUAUGGUUAUAACUCUAGGAUGAUAAAUUCUAUGUAAAUGAAAGUUCUUUGGAAUAAAUGAAAUUUUUUAGUUGAACACUAUUUUAAGGUAAAUGUUCUCUUCAUGCAUAUAUUUUUAUUCAAUGUAUUUAACAAAGUAACCAUGAGAUAGUCAUAUAAACUUGCUAAUUCUAAUAUAUGGUAUUUAAAGUUCAAAGAUAGUUUCAUCUAGUAAGAACCCUAUCUACCGAUAUAACAUAAGAGCCAGAGCCUGACAAAUAGAGCAAGAAAACUCUCACCAAUUUGAAAAACUGAAAAAAGCACAAAAAAAGAUUGAGAAUGAGUUUAGUAAAAUUUUGGAUGCUCUCAACAAGUUAAAUAAGGGAAAAAAGAUAGAAGAGAACACAAGCUAACAGGGCUCUCUAUCAUAAAAAGUGAUCGACCUUCUAUAUCCUUCGAGUUUUAGUCCACAACAAGCUUAGUCCACACAAGAUAUACCAUCACAAUAAUUCAUAUAUCCUGUAUAUGCAGGAAUGCCAUCAACUUCGAACUCAGGGCAUUACCAUAGCUAUGUGAAUCUUGUCAUUAUUGAAAAGACAGUAAAAUCGAUCCAAGUUUCUAAUCUCGAUGACUUGAAAGAGAAGAAGAAAUAAAAGGCAAAGGUGGUGAAAUCUCAGAAAGAUUCGAAGAUUAGUAUGCUUGAACAAAGGUUAUAAGCUAUAGAAAGAAUUGAGUUUUAUGGUUCUAUUGACGCUGCUGGGCUGUGCUUAGCCCAGAUAUGGUUAUUUCACUAAAGUUUAAAGUAUCAAAAUUUGAGAAAUAUGAUGGUAUAAAGUGCUCAAAGACUCAUAUCAUCAUGUACUGUAAGAAGAUGACAACCCAUACUCAUAAUAAAAAACUAUUAAUACAUAUUUUUCAAGAUAGCCUUACAGGCUCUGCUACUAUGUGGUAUGUCCAUACAGAUAGAACUCGCAUCCAUUCUUGAAACGAUAUGACCCAUGAUUUCAUUAGUUAAUAUUGACAUAUCAUGAAUUUAACUCUUGAUCGUUUGUCUUUACAGAACAUAAAAAAAAAAGGUAAAUGAGUUCUUUAAGGAAUAUGCCCAGAGGUGGAGGGAUGUAGCUUCUUAAGUGCAACUUCCUCUAAUUGAAAAGAAAACUAUAGUGUUGUUCGUCAGUAAUAUGAAAUCUUUCUAUUAUGAAAAGAUGAUAGGGAAUGCAAUAAAAAAUUUUAUCAAUAUGGUGAUUUCAAGAGAAAUUAUUGAGAGUGCCAUCAAGAAUAACAAGUUAGAAAGAGGAGAUGCAUCAAGUAAAAGAGUUCCAAAGAAAAAAGAGAUCGAAGCUUAAGCCGUGAGUUUUAAUAGGCAACAAUUUAAGAGUUAUCAACCCUACCUAUCACAAGGAUAUCCUUCAUAUUAUCUUGCUAUGAAUAACAUUUUUUUUCCCAUACCAACCAUUCCCACAGUCAUCUUAUCCCCAAACAUAUUAAUCAUUUUUUAGGCCUCAAAAUACCACAUAUAAUCUUAAUACUCAACCUACCUUUAGAUCUCAGACCUGUCCAGCUAGCCCAAUUGAUGGAUCAUGAGAGCAACGAAUUACUACGUGAAAAGCUUGUAUUCGACCCAAGUCUCAUGACCUAUAUAGAGUUAUAUCGUGAGCUUUACAAUAGUCAUUUGAUUACUUCUAGCAAAUUAGAGCCAUUCAAGCCACUUUACCUUAAGUGGUAUGAUCCCACAGCCCAUUGUGAUUAUCACUAAGGGAUUGCUAGUCAUUCCACUGAGAAUUGCACUACCUUAAAAUAUAAAGUACAAUAUUUGAUUAAGGAUGAAAUGAUUAGCUUUGACACAUAAAGGGUAACUGCACUAAAUGUUAGUGGCAAUCCUUUGCCUAAUCAUAACAUAAAUACCUUGAGUAAUGAACAUUAGUGUCAUUUGAAGAAAAAAGUUACAGAUAUUAAGAUACCUUUCUAUCAACUAUUUGAUGCUCUGUGGAAAGCUGACAUGAUACAACCAAUAAGUUCACACUGUUAUCAUGGGGCAUAUAUAGUAGGUACUAGCUAUAAAUAUCAUAGUAGGGCAAUUAGUCACUCUAUCAAAAUUUAUGAGCUGUUUCACCAAAAGGUAUAAAAGCUCAUGGAUUCGUAUCAAGUGGAACUCUAUGAAGAAUGAGAAGUCUGAAAGAAUAUUGAGGUGUCUAUGACUAAUAGGCCAGUAAAAUUAUUUUCAAAGUUGGUGACAAUUCACUGUGGGAAUAAGCCAAAGUCAGUUAUAGAUAAACUCAUUUUCAAGUUAGUAACUUUUAAAGUUUCGGUUCCAUUUCGUAUAAGGAUGACAAAGCUAUACCCUAAAAAUAUGACUGUGAUAUGGUAGUUCAGGGGCAAAAGAAAAGUACUUUUAAAUUUGAUGCUGCUAACAUAACAGGUCUAGGGGGCAUCACUCGAAGUGAAAUAUGCUACAUUUCAAAAAUACUAGAGAGGGCUAAAAAAAAAAGGCCAAGGUAGGUGAAAAGCGAAAUAACCUCAAAGUGAAACUUGAAGAGGAUCGUCCAAAGCUAGUGUUAGAAGAAAAACCUUGUGAAUUCCUAAAAUUGAUAAAACACAGUGAAUAUUCUAUGUUAAACAGUUAAAUAAAAUGUCAGCAUGAAUCUCAUUAUUAUCACUGCUUUUGAAUUCGAAACUACACCAAAAUGCCCUGCUAAAAGUGUUGAACCAGCCAUACGUGGCACAUAAUGUGUUUAUUGAAUAUGUGAACCACUUAGCUGAAAAUCUAGUCAUAUUGAACUAUAUUUUAUUUAGUGAUGAUGAGAUUCCCCUAUAAUGAAGGGAAAGUGCCAAGGCUCUGCACCUCACAAUCAAAUGCACAGUUAAAUACAAAAGCCAUAUCAUGGCCAAAGUCCUUAUUGAUAAUGGCUUCGCUAUCAACGUCAUGCUUAUGUUAACUUUGGCAAGGCUACCUAUCGAUUACUCUCAUAUGAAGGACAGUCAAAUAGUUGUGUGAGCUUUUGAUGGGACCGAACGAAAAGUCUUAAAAGAUAUUGAGAUGCCUUUGUAAAUUAGGCUGUGCACUUUUAAUGUAAAGUUUCAAGUGAUGGACAUCUCUCUAUCUUAUAUAGAGAAGGCAAAAAAACUCAUACCUAAUGGGUUUCGGUCUGACCUGACCUUUUAGGGUCAAUGUUUUUUAAAAAAAAAAUUAGGUAUCGAGUCGGGUCGAGUAGCAUGAAGAAAAAGUCAGGGUCGAGUUUUAGGCAAACCCGACCCUACCCAACCUAAUAUAUAUAUAUAAAUAAUUUUUUUAAUUAAUUUUUUAAUUUUUUAUUUAUAUAUAUUUAUAUAAUGAUAUUUUUAAAUAUUUAUAUUUAAAAAAUAAUAUUUUAUUAAUUUUAAGUUGGGUCGGGUCGGGUACGAUUUAUAUAAUAUUGGGUCAGGGUCGGGUUCAGGUAUGGAAAAAUAAAAAAUUUUUCGAGUAGGGUCAGGUUUGGGUUUAUUAAAGCAUAAGUCGGGUCGGGUUUGAGACGAGCAAAACCCGUCCCAAACCUGACCCAAUGCCAACCCUAAUCUUAUAGCUGUCUGCUGGAAAGGCCAUGGAUUCACAUGGCAGAGGCUAUUCCUUCUAUCCUAUACUAAAAAAUUAAGUUCAAUGUGGAAGGCCAGUUAAUGGUAGUGUUCGAAGAAAAAGAUAUGUUGGUAACUCAAUUGUUGAAUGCUUCAUAUAUGGCAGCUACUGAGGAAGCAAUGGAAUACUCUUAUCGAUCCUUCAAAUUAGUCAACUUUAUGGGUGAAAGAUUUAAAAAUCAACCUUUUUGAGAGAUAGUAAUGUGCCAAAUCAUCAAUAAGGGUUGGUAUCCAGGAGUAAGGCUAGACAAAAACUUACAGGAAAUAAGAAAGCCUCAAAUAGUGGUAGAGAACAAUGAAAGGCUAGGCCUAGGCUAAUGAAGUAGCAGAAUGGGAAAUUAGAAGAAGACCAGUAGGUAAAACAACAAGACUAAUGAUCAUCCCAUACUUGUAUGAGACUUUCAGGUCUAGAAGAUUCAUAUACCUAAAUACAAAAAAAAGUAUGGAAGAGGUAUUCACCCAGUUAACCAUCCAUGUUAUUAAAGAUGAAACGAGGCUUGAACAAGAAUGGUGGGCCUACUUUUGUCUGCUAGAUUAUGAGCUAAACAAUUGGAGUACCAUUGAAAUACAUUUUACCUUUGAGACUAAUUCAAUGUAAUUAUACAUCCCAAUAGCUAUUGCCCAAGGCAUUAGUGUAAUCUUUCUUGUUUGGGCCAUUUAUCUUUUAUUGUUUUAAUAAAGAUUAGGAAGGAUGCAUUUUUAUUCAUUUCUUCUUAUGCUUUUAUUAUUGCCAUUUUUUUAUUUUUCCAAACACAUCUUACUAACAUAUCCCAUUUCAUUCAAUUUGAAGUUUUUAAAUGAACAAGAAGAUAAUUAUGAUAACGAUCAAGAGGUUAAUUUUAAAAAUUCAAUUAACACUAAUGAACUUGACAAUAAGGAUGCUUCUGAAGAGUAUGUUAUACCUCCGGAUCUAAUAAGAUUGAUUAAACAAGAAAGUAAAUAAAUUGAGCUUCAUUAGGAGAUAACUAACUUGAUAAACAUAGGAGAUGAGAAAAAUAAGAAAUAGGUCAGAAUUGGUACUUCACUUUCAUCGGGAGAUAGGCAACGUUUAGAAAGUCUACUUUAAAAUUCAUAGAUGUGUUUACUUGGUCUUACCAGGAUAUAUCAAGACUGAGUGUGGAGAUAGUAGAGCAUAAACUGCCCCUAAAGCUAAAAUGUAAGCCAGUCUAACAAAAACUGAGGCGAAUGAAACUUGAAAUGCUACUAAAAAUCAAAGAAGAGGUAAAGAAGUAGUUUGAUACAGGUUUUUUACAAGUGGCUGAGUAUCUAGAGUGGGUAGCCAAUAUAGUACCAAUUCUUAAGAAAGAUGAAAGUGUAUGAAUAUGUGUAGACUAUCAUGAUUUGAAUAGGGCUAACCCAAAGGAUAACUUUUGUUUACCUCAUAUCAAUACACUGGUAGAUAACACGACUAAGCAUUCAAUGUUCUCCUUUAUGGAUGGAUUCUCAGGAUAUAAUCAAAUAAAAAUGGCUAUAAAUGAUAUAAAAAAUACUACUUUCUUGACUAUGUGGGGGACCUUUUGCUAUAAAAUUAUGCCUAUUAGGUUAAAGAAUNNNNNNNNNNNNNNNNNNNNNNNNNNNNNNNNNNNNNNNNNNNNNNNNNNNNNNNNNNNNNNNNNNNNNNNNNNNNNNNNNNNNNNNNNNNNNNNNNNNNNNNNNNNNNNNNNNNNNNNNNNNNNNNNNNNNNNNNNNNNNNNNNNNNNNNNNNNNNNNNNNNNNNNNNNNNNNNNNNNNNNNNNNNNNNNNNNNNNNNNNNNNNNNNNNNNNNNNNNNNNNNNNNNNNNNNNNNNNNNNNNNNNNNNNNNNNNNNNNNNNNNNNNNNNNNNNNNNNNNNNNNNNNNNNNNNNNNNNNNNNNNNNNNNNNNNNNNNNNNNNNNNNNNNNNNNNNNNNNNNNNNNNNNNNNNNNNNNNNNNNNNNNNNNNNNNNNNNNNNNNNNNNNNNNNNNNNNNNNNNNNNNNNNNNNNNNNNNNNNNNNNNNNNNNNNNNNNNNNNNNNNNNNNNNNNNNNNNNNNNNNNNNNNNNNNNNNNNNNNNNNNNNNNNNNNNNNNNNNNNNNNNNNNNNNNNNNNNNNNNNNNNNNNNNNNNNNNNNNNNNNNNNNNNNNNNNNNNNNNNNNNNNNNNNNNNNNNNNNNNNNNNNNNNNNNNNNNNNNNNNNNNNNNNNNNNNNNNNNNNNNNNNNNNNNNNNNNNNNNNNNNNNNNNNNNNNNNNNNNNNNNNNNNNNNNNNNNNNNNNNNNNNNNNNNNNNNNNNNNNNNNNNNNNNNNNNNNNNNNNNNNNNNNNNNNNNNNNNNNNNNNNNNNNNNNNNNNNNNNNNNNNNNNNNNNNNNNNNNNNNNNNNNNNNNNNNNNNNNNNNNNNNNNNNNNNNNNNNNNNNNNNNNNNNNNNNNNNNNNNNNNNNNNNNNNNNNNNNNNNNNNNNNNNNNNNNNNNNNNNNNNNNNNNNNNNNNNNNNNNNNNNNNNNNNNNNNNNNNNNNNNNNNNNNNNNNNNNNNNNNNNNNNNNNNNNNNNNNNNNNNNNNNNNNNNNNNNNNNNNNNNNNNNNNNNNNNNNNNNNAACCCUAAGAAAGUAUAUUAUCAAGCUAAUUAUAGCUAAAUUGUCAAAAAAAGAUUUCUUCCACUUCAAGGGUCUUAAUGCAACUAAUUAAAAGUUUUUUUUUCUUUGAUUUGCUUCAAAUUGAAGGAUUCGCUCCGUUUGUUGCUAUUCAAAAAACCAAAACCUUUCUUGUUUACAUAUUGUUGUAAUUUUCUCAGGUCCUUGCAACCUUUUGUAAGGCACAAAAGCAUUAAUUUUAAAAGUAGUAAACUUUGAAGAUUGAGGUUGCCAUUGGUUACGAUUCCUUUUUCAUUAUCUUUAUUUUUUUUUGAAAAUUUUCACUCACAAAGCAAGAUUUGACACCACACCAGACUGUAAAGCGAGCCCUAACAUAAUUUUGUCUUCAUGAUUUCCAUAGGACAUCCAAACCAUGACAGCAUGCAUAAAGCUAGUCUUCUUACUAGCCAGUAAAAGCAUAGACAUGAACACAUUACCUAAAAACGUAGAUAAGAUAAAAAUAUCCACAUUUCUUGAUGAUGGGCACGGCUCAAUUCACACCUAUUCCCUUUAUUCGUUUUUUUUUCAGAAAAAUGAGGCAACUCAAUUCACAGCUAUGUUUUCAAAACAAAAUAUACUAAACAUAAAAGUUUUGGAUUUUACUUUUUGAAGUUUCCACUGGAGUUAAAUUGAAACAAAUAAUUAUAAUUUGCUGGAAAAGUAAUGUUUCAAAUUUCAAUAUCUCACAUUCCAAAUUUUUUAAAAAAUAGUGCAUGAUGUGGAAAAACACCAAACUAUAAGGACUCGAUUGCGAAACAAAAGCCAGCCCAUUAUUAAUGAUGCUCAAUCAAAUCUGAAAAAACAAACAGUGGUUGUGUUGAUGUAAACAGAAGUUAGAUUUUAGGCUUGGAAAAAGGUGGGACCCACCAAGUCGCACAUAUUCUUUGACCAACAAACCCUUCCCCCAAUUCAACUCUUCGGUUAGGUUCCACAGUCCAGACUUAUAAAAGCCACACGUGUGGCCCUUAGUCAGAUAAGAGCAGACCCCCAGCCCAAGCCCCCUUUACCCUGCCCCCUUCCCAGUCCCACCACUCCCUUAUGGUAUAGCUGUUGGGUACUUGUCUCUCUGUUCCAAAAUUUUUAUAUAUAUAAGUGUGAAACCAAAACCGGGCACCAAACAAAUUUCUCCAGAGAAUUCUCGGAGUCCUCUUCCCACCCCUACUGAUUUACUUUUUUUUUCCCUUUUUGUCUCUGGAGAUGCCUGGAAGUAUAGAGCCAUUAGAUUUGGUUGGUGUGCAAGUUCCUUACCAUUUCAGGUGUCCUAUUUCACUUGAGCUCAUGCGUGACCCUGUAACAGUCAGCACCGGCCAAACCUAUGACCGAACCAGCAUUGAGUCAUGGGUAGCUACCGGUAACUCCACUUGUCCUGUUACUCGAGCCCCACUCUCCGACUUCACUCUCAUCCCUAACCAUACCCUUCGCCGCCUUAUUCAAGAUUGGUGUGUCGCCAACCAGGCCUUUGGUAUCGAGCGAAUUCCUACUCCUAAACAACCUGCUGAGCCUACCAUGGUUCGGUCCUUACUGAAUCAAGCUUCUUCCGUUUCGAAUCCGUUUCAAUCUCGUCUUUCUGCUCUGCGUCGACUCAAGGGACUCGCCCGCGACUCCGACAAUAAUCGUUCCGUGAUUUCCUCCCAUAACGCACGUGAAAUGCUCAUAAGCAUUCUAUUUUCAGAUACGGGUUCCAGUUCGUCGGAGUUGAACCAUGAGGCACUUGCGCUUUUAGUAAUGUUUCAGCUUACCGAAUCCGAGUGCGCAUCAAUCGCUUCGGAUUCAAACAAAGUAACCUACUUGUCACACUUCUUGUCCCAUUCGUCGAUUGAAGUCGAGUCACCUCAGCUUCGCUCAUCGAAAUCGUUCUCGCCGGAACAAGAUCGUCAGAUCUUCGAGCUCAGAUAUGCAAUGUAGAUGAAAUUUUCGAAGGCGUCACCGACAUAUUAAAAAACCUCAGCUCUUAUCCACGCGCGUUAAAAAUCAGCAUUCGAGCUCUUUUUGCCUUGUGCUUAGUAAAACAAACCAGGCACAAAGCUGUUCAAGCCGGAGCAGCCGAGACGUUGAUUGACCGGUUAGCCGAUUUGGAUAAGUGCGAUGCUGAACGAGCUUUAGCUGCGAUAGAAUUAUUAUGUCGGAUCCCCUCUGGGUGUUCAGCCUUCGCGGCACACGCGCUUACAGUUCCAUUGUUGGUCAAGACAAUAUUGAAGAUUUCGGACAGGGCUACUGAGUACGCAGCCGGUGCGCUCCUGGCACUGUGUUCGGAGUCGGAACAGAGUCAAAGGGACGCGGUGAGUGCGGGUGUUCUGACGCAGCUGCUAUUGUUGGUUCAAAGUGAUUGUACGGACAGGGCUAAGAGGAAGGCUCAAAUGCUGCUUAAGUUGCUUCGGGAUUCGUGGCCUGAAGAUUCUAUUGGGAAUUCGGAUGAUUUUGCUUGCAAUGAAAUCGUACUCUUUUGAAUGAUAGAUUUUUACUUACUAGUUUUUUUUUUUUUUUAUAACUUAAGAUUUUAAUUCUAAAAAAAAUAAAAUUUCAGGGUCUUAGAUGGGUAUAUAGAGGAAGAUUGUAAUUUUAUUGUAUGUAAUUUUGUACGUAAGAAUUUUUGUCAAGCAAAACAGAAGAAAAGAUAGAUCUGUUCUUGGUGUAUGCAAUUUUUUUUAUUUUUGUUUUUGUUAUUAUUUCAUAUUUUGCGGGAACUCUUGAUGAGGGUAAUUAGUUUAUGGGUGAAAUGAGCUUGCAAAGUCUUCAAUAAUUAUGAAACUUGAUUUGAUUUGAUUUGGUGGGUGCGACGCAUGUUUCAUAGCUGUUCGGCAGACUUUUCCUGAAAAUUAGAGUUGAACGUUGGCUUUUGAAAGAGCUAACCAUAUUGACCUCAGCGUAGCUACUGGAUUUGAAUUCAAACCCCUGUAAUUAAUCCAACUUGUAGUCUCAGAUUUGUUUAAGAAUUAAUCGAACAGCUGAAAUCAAUAUAAUAAAAAAGGAAAAAAAAAAAACUCCAUAUAUUUUUUCUGUAAGAAAUACUACAAAUUACAAACGCAGUACAGAAUCAGUUUUUGGCAAUCAAAUGUUACAAAUGUCUAAGUUAGAGUGGGGAAUAAACGUGGUUCUAGUAUCUGAUAACCGGUUAUAGAAAGCUGAUCCUCAUAAAAUCACAUUCAAAUCCUGGAACUGUCCCCUGACUCCAGACCAUCUCCUUCAUCUUUCUUUUUCUCUCUCUUUUUCCCUAUUUUCUCCAGAGAUCUGACAGUAAAAGUUCUGUUUCCUUAUUAUUUUUUUUGUUGGGGGUAAUCUGUUAAUUCCUGUCUUUCUUUUUUUUUCUUACUUUCUGCUGAAACUGGGAUUUGACUUUGGACUGCCAAAGAUAGCUAAGCUAGUUCUUUCAUGCUCGCGUGCAGCGUGCAUGCUAGAGGUCCAAAGAUGAAUCAUGGCAAGGAAACAGGGAAGGGUAGGGUCCCCUCUAGAAGGACCCCCCACCCUAAUGUUGAAAUGGAAAAAUAGGUAUGUGGCUUAAAGAUGUGGGGAGAAGAUGGGUCACAUGUUGGUGGGAAUAAAACCAUGGAAUCACGUGGGCUGGUUCAUAUUCUUCCUCCCUGUGGGUGAUGGCUACUAGUACUCACAUGCCCCAAACACCAACUUUGUUCCUACUCUUUUUGUCACAACAACGAUUGGGAAAUUCGUUUGUCUUUGCGCCCUCUUUGAUUUUUGCAGCAUUUGGGUCCCAACCAUUAAUGUCUUCCCUCUUAACUUUUUUUGAAUUUGGAACUUGCUGAAUCACCCAUGUGCUGCCAAAUCAUGAGGGUUUUUUUACCUGAAAAUAGUUUGCAGAAGAUGACAUUUAUCUUUAGGUGAUGAAAGUUUUUAUGAUAAUAGGCUUUGGUUAGCGACAACCAUAGAAAAGCUUCAUGAAGCUGACUAGUGUUUUGAGUAUUGACACAUUAAUUACUCGAAAACAACGACAACCAGAACCAGAACAUGAACGUAUUAAACAUUGCCAAUGUAAAGACCUGUCAAGUGCGUAUACACAAUGUUUCAACCUGGCACAACCAAAUUGUGGUUUACAAUUGCAGGAAUUGCUUUUGAAUAUGUAGUAAUAAAGUUUCCCUUGCUUUUUACAGCCCCUUCAAUUAUUCUUUGUACAAAUGUACUUCGAGUUUGAGUUGAUCAGUUAUUUUUGUGCUGCAUGGUAGUAAAUGGAGUAGAACGAAUGCCUAUCCAUUCAAGGUUGUGAUUUGUGAACAAUGGAAGAGCAACACCUGCUUUUCUUGAACCUCGUACAAGAAUCUGUUCUGUUCGAGUAUGCUCUUGUAGUACGACAAAAAUUCUCCACUAUCUGUUUGAGUAUGAUUUGAAGUACCUAUAGCUCUCAGACACGCUAGAUCUGGAAUAUAAGUCAUGAUCUUUGAGGAAAGAAUUGCAAGCCGAGUUCUUGACCAUUUAAUGUACAGUUGCAACAUUCUUCGGCUAUAAAGAGUUUACCUUAUACAACUUUUGGAUAUCAUACAUAUUUGAAAUUCAUAAACUAGAAUAGCUAUGAUCCUUGAUUGUCCCCCCGCUUCCUGCGUUAUAUUUUGGAGACUAAGAUAAGCUUUGAUCUUGACCAGAGUUCCUUCUAAAAUUGAAAGACAAAGAUAAGCUGCCUGUUUUAUAUUUCUGUUCUGGGGGGAGGAAUCUUAAGAUUAUUCCUGAUGUGGACAUUUGUAUAUUCAUUUCUUAAGCCCAAUUCAUCUCACUUUGGGUAGUAUUAUGACCCACAAAACCUGACGAGAACUCUACCAAUAGUAUUUAUUUAAAAGGAUCUAAGACCCUCAACACUCGUGUUUAAAGGAGGGGUUGGACGGCCCAAAAUUACAUAGUAGUGUUUGAAAGUUGAAUCCGAAGUUUUGUUUUUUUUCUUUUUUUUUUUUAAAUCAACAUAUUUUUCUUAAAAAUAUGUUCUACAUUAUUGGGAGGAUUUUUAGGAUGGUCCGCAUGGACAAAGACUGCUGAUAUGGAGUCUAACUGGAGGUGAGAUAGAGUCGCCGUUGGCAUGAAGUUGUCAAAAAUGUUGGAUUUGUACUUGCUGUGAUAGGGGCAGUUCGCACCUCCCCUUCCUCGGUUCUAGUCUAACAGACAACUAGUUCUACUCUAGCCCACAACUAGUUAACCUAGAGAUGGUGAAAUAUGAUCGAGAAAAGUUGAAGUUUUCCUGCAGAUGCCUCAGUUUGAGGUUAAGCGAAAAUUGGUAGUAUGCGUCGGCGGUAAGAAGUGAGAGAUGUCAGCCAAAUGGGUUAAGGACAAAUACCGGGUUUUGUCCUGGUGUUUUUGGGUUUGGUAAAAAAAAAAAAAAAAAACUAUUAUUAUUAUUUUUAUUUAUUUAUUUAUUUUUUUGCAUAAUCAAACUCCAUCCCUUUAGCCUUUAGAAAAUGUGGACGAGGGAUUUGAUUCCAAUAGCAACCCUAUUAGCAAUAUCAAUUGCAUAUUUUCUUCUCUCUUGAACAAAACAAAGAGUUGAGAGUAUUGAAAAUAUUUUGAUGAAGUAAAGUUGUACACUAAAAAUUCUGGAUUAUGCAUUUUCUAUCUAAUGUAUAUAUAAACGAAAUUAAGACUAUAAUAAAUUCCUAUUUAUUGUGGUUGUCGAACAAAUUAACUUGAAGUCACGGUGUGUGCAAAAGUACUCCAUGUCACUGUUCAAUCAAAAUAACCUGUUCACUCAUUAUGCCUUUUUAACAAUGCCAGAUUAUUCUCAUCCAUGUAUAAUCAAUUCAAGAGAAUAAGAACCAACUGAUACAUGAGCACAAGAUCAUAAAGCACGUAGUUCACACGAGGUACUAAUGAGAAACUUUAUUUCUUUCUCUCGUAUCAGGGAAAGCAAUUGCUCGUCAUAUUGGUUCGCGCAUGCAGGAUCUUUGUGUUGGGAAUGUGGGUCCAGCCCUAUUGUUUCCACCAAUUAAAACGCCUAAAGACUUAAUAUGAAAUAAAAGCCCUAAAUAAUAAAAAAGUGGGGCCCUAUUUUUGGUGAUUAGGGAGUGGCGCCGAAAAAAGAAAAAGAAAAAUCAGAAAAGAUACAAAAAAAAAAAAGAAGAGUUAUAUGAUCAAUGAAAAUUGAUUUGUGAUUUAAUUGAAUUAAAAUUUUAUUAGUAAGUUUAUGAUUUAAUAUUUUAUAUUUUGAAUGAUGGAAAUCAAUUUGAAACUCUUUAAGAAUGAAUUUAAGAUGUAUUUAUUAAGUUAUUUAUUUAGUGAGUUUUUUUAAUUGUCUCUUUAAUUAUUAAUUAGUUCUAGUUUUAACUAGAGAAAAAUUUUAUAUGUUCAUUAUUUGAUAGUGAAAAUUUUUCUAGUGAUCCAUAGUUUUUUUCCUUUACAUUUGAUGAUUUUUUACGUAAAUCUUGAUGUACUUUAUUUUUAUUGCAUUGUUUAUUAUUGAUUGUUAUUUAUUAUUACGAGUUUCUUGCGAUAUAUUGCUUUUAUGUUAUUGUGUUUGUCACUUCAAGCCCAAUAAAUGAUAUCAAAGCUUGGUUAUUUUAAUAUAUUGAUACAUAAACAAUUCAGAAUAGAAAUAAAUUUUAUUGAGAUCAUGGAGAGUGAUAUAGGUUCCAUAAUAAAAUUAACAGUAUCAAAUUAUUCAAUUUGAAAGCCUAUGAUGAAAGAUAAUUUAUACUAUAAAGAUUUGUAUGAGUCAAUAUUAGAUGAUUUAGCUAAGCUAAUAGAUAUGAAAGAUGAAAGCUAAAAGAAAGUAAACAGGAAGACACAGGCCACAAUAAGAAAAUGGGUUGAUAUCAGUAUUUUUCAUUAUAUAGUAGAGGAGACAGAUGUCCACACCAUUUGAAAAAAAUUAGUAAUGUUAUAUGAGAGAAAAACAGGCAUAAAUAAAGUUAUAUUUGUUAAAAAGAUUGCAACUUUAUAAUAUAGGGAUAGACGAUCGAUUACAAAGCACUUGAGUGAUUUUCAAUAUAGAUUCAAUCGGACGACUACUAUGGAGCUUAAGAUGGAUGAUGAAAUAAAGGCAUCAUUUUUUUUUUUUUGGAUUCAUUGCCAAACAGCUGAAAUACUUUAGUUGUGACUGUUCUUAAUUUAGCUUUUAAUUAUAAGGUAACAUUAAAGAUGGUAAAAGAUAGUAUGCUUGAUGAAGAAGGAAGGUAAAAAGAUUCAAACUCUGAGAAUCAAGCUCUUGUCACAAAGAACAGGGAUAAAAACAUCAAUAGAGGUUGAAACUUAAAAGAUCGUAAUAAGUUUAGACAUAAAUCCAAGUCCAGAGAUAAAGUGAAGUGUUACCAUUGUGGUAAACAUGAUUAUGUAAAGCAAAACUAUAAAAUCUUGAAGCAAGAACGAAAAUAUAUUAUAGGUUGAUGACAAAUGUUAGAGUUCAGUUGAUGACAAUAUUGCAAUAGUGAAUUUAGAUAGUGAUUCAAUUACUUUGAUUUAUACACAUGACGAUUGUAAUCAUAUAAGUAAUUCUGGUAUUAAGAGGGUAGUUGACACAUGAGCGACAUAUCAAUGUGUUCAUAAGAGGGAGUUGUUUACAACUUUUAAAGUAAGAGAUUUUGGUUGCAUCAAUAUAGAAAACAAGAUUGUGUUACAGAUUGUUGAGAUUUGUUAUAUUGUUGUACAAACUAGUACGGGUUGUAUAUUGACUUUAAAAGAUGUUAGACAUAUUUCAGAUAUGAGAAUAAACUUAUUUGUGAUUAAUGUCCUUAAUAAAGAUAUGAGAGUCGAUAAAACAAUAGGUAAUGAAAGCUUCUCAAAGGAUCUAUGAUAGUGGUAAUAAAAAAAUUAUGCUACACAAUAUACAAAAUAUUGAUGUAAUUGAAAGGCAAUAAGAUAAAUACCGUUGAUGAUGAUGUCAAAUAUAUGGCAUAAAAGGCUGGCACACAUAAGUGAUAAGGGAUUAUAGGUUUUGGCAAGCCAAUCUCUUAUUUUUUUAAUAAAAGGUAUAUUUCUAGAUUCAUAUAAUCAUUGUUUGUAUGAUAAGCAUCGUAAAGUUUUUUUUUGUAAAUAUUCUCAGAUAAAAGAAAAUAUAUUAGAAUUAAUUUAUUUUGAAGUAUGUGGUCUUAUUAAGGUUGAACCAUUGGAUGACAGCAAAUAUUUUAUUACUUUUAUUUAUGAUGCUUUACAUAAAACUUGGGUAUAUAUAUUGAAAAACAAAAGCUAGGUGCUGUAAUAUUUUUAAAAAUUUAAUGCCAUGAUGAAAAAGAUGACAGGGUUACUCUUGAAGUCUAUUCAGACUAAUAAUGGUAGGGAAGACACGUCUAAAAACUUUGAAGAAUAUUGUUUAAAGCAUGAAAUCAGGCAUGAGAUGACAGAAUUUGGAACACCAUAACAUAAUGGUGUACCUUAAAGGAUGAACUGCACUAUUAUAAAAAAAGUUAAAUGUAUGCUGAGAAUGACAAAAUUACUAAAGCUAUUCUAGGGUGAAAUAGUCAACAAAGCUUGUUAUUUACUUAACAGAUCACUGUUAGUUCUUUUAGGUGUUGACAUUUUAGAAAUAGUGUAGACAGAAAAAGAUGCUUCAUACUCUCACUUAAAAAUUUUUGGGUGUAAAGUAUUCAUGCAUAUGUCAAAGAAACAGAUGUUAAAACUUGAUAGUAAAGCUACACAGUGUGUGUUUGUCAAAUAUAGUGAUAAAAAAUUUAGUUACAGGGUAUAAGAUCUAGUGAAAAAAAAGAUAAUUAGAAGUAGAGAUGUAAUCUUUCACGAAAAAGAAACCAUAGUAAGCAUUGAGAAAAAUGAGAAAACUAUAUAGAUUAUUAUUGAGUAUAAUGUUUCAACAUCGAUAAAGGUUCCAUAAUAAAGAGCCAUUGAUGGUGAAAAUAAGCAAGAGACAGAACUUGAAGAUACAAAUAAGUCAACCAUGGUUAGUGAUAAGUUAGAUGUAAUCAGUUUUAAAUAAAAGAAACAAUAUUUUCUACCUGAAAAUGUUGAGCAGGGUGAGCAGUCUUUUCUAUUAGAAAGUGUUGAGCAUAGAAAACUAUCUUCGGUAUUAAGUAGUGUAGAGUUUCAGCUUAAAAGAUCUACUAGAGAGUACAAACCAUCUAAUAAGUAUCUAAGUUUAGAUUUUAUUUUAGUUACUAGUAAAAAGAGCCAAAAAAUUUUCAAGAUAUAUGACUACUCUAGAUAGGGAACACUAAUUAAAAGAAAUGAAAGAAGAAGUAGAGUCAUUGCGAAAAAAUGGUACAUAUGAUCUUAUUAACUUUUUGAAAAGGAGGAGACCAUUGAAAAAUAAGUAGAUGUUCAAGUUAAAAAAAGAUGGCAAUAAACUAGUGAGGUAUAAAGGUUGAUUGGUGGUGAAAGAUUUUUUUCAAAAACUCAACAUUGAUUUUGAUGAGAUAUUCUCUUCAAUUGUGAAUAUGAGUUCUAUUUGAGUGAUACUAGGAUUAGUAGCUAGUUUGAAUAUUAAGCUUGAGUAACUUGAUGUUAAGAUUGCAUUAUUACAUGGUGACUUACAAUAAGAUAUUUAUAUGGAUCAACCUGAUAUAUUUAAAGUGAAAGGGAAAGAAUAUUUAGUUUGCAAAAUGAAAAAAAAGCUUGUAUAGCUUGAAACAAGCUUCACAGCAAUGGUACAAUGAGUUUGAUUUUUUUAUGGUGGGUCACGACUAUAAAAUAGCGGCAGCAGAUCUUUAUAUAUAUGUUAAAAAUUUUUUUAUGGUAACUUUAUUAUUUUUUUAUUAUAUGUUGAUAAUAUGUUGAUUGUAGUACAAGAUGUUGGUAUAAUUUACAAGUUGAAAGAACAAUUUUUUAAGUUGUUUGACAUAAAAGAUUUAGGUCUAACAAAAUAGAUUCUUAGUAUGGAUAUUAUCCUAGAUAGGAGAGCUAAAAAAUUAUGGUUGUCACAAGAAAAGUAUAUUGAAUGGGCAUUUAGUAGAUUUAACAUAUAAUAUGCUAAAUUAAUUAGUAGUUUACUUGUCAAUCAUUUUCAUUUGAAUAAGAAAUCUUGUUCAAAAGAAAGAGCAACUAGCUAUGUUUAGAUGCACUGAGAAACAGUGAAAUAGUUUUUAGAUAUUUGAGAGGCACCUUGAAGAUGUGUUUGAGUUAUGAAAUAUACAACCAAUUCUAAAAAGGUUUACUAAUACUGGCAUAGCAUGUGAUUUUAAUGAUAACUUCAAGGUAUUUGUUAACUUUUGUAGGAAGAACUAUGUUUUGACAGUUUAAAUUAUAGAAGUGUGUUGCUUUGUCAAAUACAGAGGUCGAGUAUAUUUUAGCAAUCGAAAUAGGUAAAUAAAUGCUUUGGAUGAAAUAUUUUCUUCUUGAAUUGAGAUUAAAUCAGAAUAAGUAUGUGGUAUUUUGUGAUAGCUAGAAUGCUUUAGAUUUCAGUAAAAAUAUCAUGUACCAUGCUAAAAUAAAACACAUUAAUGUUAGAUAUCUCUAGCUACAUUUGAUGAUUGAAGAACAUUAGAUGUAGUUAAAAAAAGUUUAUAUUGAUGAAAAUGCAGUAAAUAUAUUGACUAAGACACUUCUUAAGAAAAAUUUUAAGUUCUGUAGUAACUUGGUCAUAAUGGGUUCCUUGGUCAAGGUAAGUUCCAAAUGAGUACUAUAGUGAUGAAUCUCUUCUUAAUAGAGCUAGAGGGAGAGAUUGUUUGAAAAAUAGGGUCAGCUCUAUUGUUUCCACCAAUUAAAAGGCCCAAAGCCUUUUAACUUAACGUGAAAUAAAAGCCCUAAAUAAUAAAGAAGUUUAGAGCUAUUUUUGGUAAUUAAGGAGUGGCACUGAAAAGGGAAAAAGAAAAAUUAGAAAAGAUAGAGAGAAAAUGAAGAGAUGAGAGUUAUUAGUUGAACGGAAGUCGAUUCGUAGUCCGAUUGAGCUAAAAUUUUAUAAGCAAGUUCAUGAUUUAGUGUUUUACAUUCUGAACAGUAGAGAUCAAGUUUGAAGCUCUCUAGGAACAAGUUCAUGGUGCAUUUGUUGAAUCACCUAGUUAGUAAGAUUUCUCCAAAUUGUCAUUUUAGUUAUUGAUCAGCUCUAGUUUUAGUUAAAUGAGAACUUUGUAUAUUCAUUAUUUGAUAAUUGAGAUUUUUCUGAUGGUUCAUAGUUUUUUUCUUUAUACUUAAGGGUUUUUCAUGUAAAUCUUAGUGUGUUUUAUUUUUCUUGCUUUGUUGAUUGUUGAUUUUUAUCUAUUACUAUGAGUUUAUUGCGAUAUAUUGCAUAUAAGUUAUUAUAUUUGUUGCUUCAAGCCCAACAGUUUGAAUAUCUUUUUUUUUUUUUUAAAGUGUCGAAUUAUGCAUGUAUAUUUGAACAGUUCGGGCAUCGUUUUUCUUUCAUUAUUAAUGAAAGAAAAAAUUGUACGAGGAUAGAGAUCAGAGGGAGGUUGAAAAUGUUGUUACGCAUCAAAACAUAUCUUUUUUUUUUCCUUUCUUUCAUAUUAGAAAAGCCAAUAUUUUCUGGAAAUAUCAUGAUUAUAGGUUGAAGUUAAAGCCUUCAGGUAUAGACUAUGGAGGGAGGGCAGCUAGAAUCAUAUCCUAAUUGAGGCUGCAAAUUCGAGCAAACAAAGCAACAUGCAGAAUAUUGGUAGCUAAUUGGUAAAAGGAUCUUGUCAAUGGCGAUGGAUUUACUCCAUAUCUCUUAUACUAAAACUCGGGUCGCUUUUACCAAAAGAAGCAAUAAUAUGUAUUUGAGGGCCUAGUUUAUGCUAUGAUCAGGAAGAGACGCAGCACAUGAUCUCAGCUGCAGCUUGUUUGAACAUUUCUUCCACUUGAAAUGCCGCUGACAGCUGAUUGGAAGCUCCACUUGCCUGGACAAUACACCCAACACAGAAUUGGUGUAAGAUACAAAUGCAAAGUUGGUGCUAAAAAGAAUUUAAUUUAAUCAGUAAAAAGGCUUUGAUUGAGCUUUCUGAUCUAUAUUAUCAAUUUUAAUAUAUAAACAAUAUUGACAAGAAUUUUGAGGGAUUUCCACCGACAAGAAUGUCUAAAAUUAGUUCUAUAGAAUGGUUUUCAUUUAGCAUGUCUAAAAGACAAUAAUCUUCUUGCUGUGGUGAACAAGAAUGCUGGAAGUGGCAAAUUAUAAGUAAAAAAUUAUAUAGAUAAUUUGAGGCAGAGAUCAGAGAAGUACAAACUUACAUGCGCUUGAAUCAUGAACAUGCUUUGAUUAGAAUCUGACGAAACAUGCGCAGAUAUCACCUCUAUUUUGUGCUUCUCCAAAAUAUAGCAAAUAGUGGUGAACAGCCCUGGCUUCUUUGGUGAGCACACGCUUAUUUGUGCUUCGUUACCGCAUAAGUUCAACACAACGUUGGAAGAAGUCCAUGUUUGAAAUAGUACAGGGAAUUGAGAGACCAAAAGAGAAUUCGAAAAAAUGGUUGGGUCACUAGAAGAUACUUGAUCAGCCAAGAAUGCCUCCCUGCAUAAAUCAAAAGCUUGCUUUUGGUUGUUCAUCAUGGAGGAGGGCUCAUAACCAACAUGAUUGGAACCUUGGAGCCUCUCUAGCUUUUGUUUUCGUAGCUUUUGGAGAGUUUGUUGUAGGGUUUCGAUAUAGUUUACUGCUUCAUCAACUAUGGUGGAUUUGUCAGCCUGUGUAAAUUAAAUUCGAUGGAGUUAGCCCAAUCUUCAUCGGGUGCCAACUUUUCAUAUCAUGAUUAAGAUUGGUUUAUUAUAUAGGCAAGUAACUAGACCAUGAAUGAUCUCCCUGGUUCAGAAAAAACCGUCAACCAAAACCGGGAUUUGGAAAAUUAUGCAGAUUAUGACAACUCAGUUACAAUAAAUAGUUAAAUACAUUUCCAUCUUAAGUCAUAAACAAAUAAAGGAAGAAAUCUGACUACUCAUUGAAGCAUUUUCUAUAACCGAAACUAUAAGUGACACGAUUUUUACUUUCUUUUGACAAUGACAAAAAAUUGGCCUGGUUUUACCAAUUUUUUUCCCUAUCUCCACAGUAAGUUCUCAGAAUUUGUCAAAAACUUAAUAACUUCAAGAAGGAACCAUUUUUUAAAUUUUGAUUUUUCUUGAUCAUGAAUGAAUAUGUAUCUUCUCAUAGAAAAUUCAGCCAGACCAAGAGAUUAUCUUCUUACUUUUUUUGAGGCCAAGCAUGGUAGAAACAAAAUGCAAAAGUUUUUCAAAGUUCAGAAUAUCAAAACGUUACCACUUUUUUAUUUUCAACAGCUUGCCGUCUAUUCUUAGUUUGUUUAUGUUUGAUAAGUAACUAUCCGAAAGUUGAAGAGCAAGACCAAGAUAUAAGAAAGAGACUGUCACUUAUAUUACCUUAGGAGGAAGCUGAGGAAGCAAAGCAUGAAGGUUAGAAAACAUGUUUCUCAUCUUCUUCCUCCUCUCUCUUUCUGUCCAUAUAUGCAUUUCAUGAUCAUCCGAUUCACCUCCUCCUCCUCCUCCUUUCCCAUUCUUUUCACCCCCUCCUCCAAGUUCUCUCUUAUUGUUCUUCUCAGUCUCGUCUUGUAAAGUUUCUUGCUCUUGUUGGUUUUUGCCUGAUUUCUCAUCACUACCAGCACCAGUACCAGUUGAAUUAUUAUCUGAAUUGGAUAAGGCCCAUGACUGGUUUUCCAAUAAUAAAAAACUUUCAUGGCCGCCUUCCUCUGACAUGACUGGGUAUAGCUAGCUAGAAGAAAGAGAGAGAAAAUAAAGAGGUGAGAAGAAGAGAAGAGAGAAGGCGUUUAAAAGGUGGCAAACAAGGCAGAGAGAGAGGGCGGGGGGGAUUCUGUUUGGAGUAGGAAGAAAGGAAGGGAGGAAGAGCCGAAAAUACAAUCAUAAGGCAAUGCCGUUACUGAGAAUCAAAACAAAAACGUACAUAUAUAUGAUUUAGCCUAAAGCGCGUUGUAACAAAUAUUUUUUUUCUCUUCGUUUGAGGGUUCCACAACUCAUGAUGACCCCACCGUAUUUUGCCAUUUGCCAUUUACCAUUUACUAUAAAGACUGAUUUUUACAAUUACAUGGCCCCACUCUUUCUUUCACAAAUUACUGUUUUUUUGUCUUCUAUAGUUUUUGAAAAACAUAAAGAAAAAAGGUUUUGACUUGUUUUCUGGUAAUGAAGUUACUGAGUCUAUAUUAGGCUAAAGUUUAAAACAAUAUAAAAAAAAACUCAUACACACAAUGUAUAAGAAAUUAACAUUGUUAGACAUUCAAUUACAUGGAAAAAAUUUAAAUAAAAUUUUUUAUUAAAAAUUAUUAAAAAUUAAAAUUAAAAAUAAAGAUUGAUAAAUUAUAAGAUCUUAUUAUAUAAAUCAAGUAUACAAAAUGUAAAAUUUUUUUUUAUAAAUUUUGAUACAUUUUUAAGAUAAAUAUUUUUAGUAAAAUUUUGACAAAAUUUAUGUUGUUGAUAAAUACUAAUCAAAUUUGAAUUAUAAACGUUAUUUUUAAAAUUGUAAUUGUAAUUAAUUUAUCAAUUUAAAUUUUUUAUUAAAAUUGUAAUUAAAUUCUUUAUAUUAAAAAAUUUACAAACUUUAUUUAAAACUUUUCACAUAAUUGUAGAAAUAUUAUAAUAAUAUUCAAUCAUCGACGUUCAAACAUUUUAACUCAGCUCACAACUCAAAACACAAACAUAUAUAAUUAAUCUUAUAUCAAACAAAUUUAUGAGCAGUACUCUCUCUAAUAAUCUCAGCCCAAAUAUUCAUUUGUAUAGACACUCAUUUUUAUAUAACUCUACGUACAUAUAUUCAUAUCUCAUUCUAUAAACACUCUUCUCAAUUUAUAAAUUCACUAAAUUGAUUAUUAAAUAAACUUAAUUAUUAAGUAAUAUCUUUAAUGGAUUUUUUUGAAGUUGUUAAAAUUUAAAUCUUAAUUAUUAAAACAAAAAAUUAAAUACUUUAUUAAUACAUCGUAUGAUUAUUGAUAGAAUAUUUUCAUUCAUUAUAUAAGAUAUAUGAUUCAAGAAAAAAGAAAGUUGUGAAACUGCUCUUAUUCUUUGAAAAUGAAGGAAAGCAUCAUAUAAAUUGCUCUUAUAUGAUGGAAAGUAACAAUUUUUUUAAAUUAAAAAAUGGAUCCAUGGUUUCUUCAAACAAAUCACAAUGAAAUUAAGAUUUUUUUAUAUUCGUUCACACGAGCAUACUUUAAAAAAAAAAAAGAGAUUUAUUUUAUAUAAUAAUGAAUUAAUCCAAAAUAUUUCAUGUUGUUGCUAUCACAUCUGAUGAUGAUCUAAAAAGUAAUCGAUCAAAAACGACUCAAGAUGUGUUACUUUGGGCUUUUUUUUUCCCUUAUAAAAUGGGUGAGAUAUGGGAGGUUUCAAAUUUCAAAAUUGGCCACGCAGCCUUGGGGACAGCAGUUGUAUCCAAAAUAAAAGAGGUCUAGUGGCAGAAAGAGUUCAUUUGUGUAUGUACUUCAUAAAAGAGGUUGAGUGUAUAACACUAAUACUAAUAAUAAUAAUAAUAUUUUUUUUUUUUUAUGAAAAUAAAGAAAACGUGGAUGCGUCAUCACAUCAAACAGCCAGAAGCCAUAUAGAUGGCCUGAAAUCCAUUAAAAUAGCUUAAAAUUUUUGUUCUUUUGUAUUUUGUCUCCGACGAAACUGAAAAUAUAUAUUCUUUAUAAACAAUUGAAAGGAUAAAAGUAUGAUUGCAAUAAAAAUUGAAAAAAUUUACAGGGACUUGUUAUGGUUAUAGUACUUGAUAGCUUUCACUUGCAUAACCCCGGCUAAUGCCUAAUUAUAUCACUAGCUUAUGGAAAAAAUAAAAUGGCUUCAAAAUAUUUACAGAGGCUUGCUUAUGUAAUAAGGACCAAGGGGACUCGUUUGGGCAGUAAAUACAGUCCAAAGCCAUAAAAAUGCCCAAACGCUCAAAACAAUAAUAUACUAGCAGCACAUUCAUAAGUUCCAACAGAAUCAUUGAGAACUAAUGUUGACCUUCUUAAAGCAUGAUAAUGUCAUGUCAAAAAUAUUAAUUCAAAUAUGUUAUCAUUGUUAUGCCACAAACUCAUCCUGUAAUUCAUGGCAGUAACAACUGCUCCAUGGCCUUGAAAGUUGUAGUUUCAUAAGCAAGAAAGCCGGUUUAAAUCACAGAUAUAAUCCACCCUAUUAUUGGAUCUAAUGACCAUGAUGAGGAAAAUUAAAUUUCCUGGCUCUAACGAUGGCCUUCGCUCUCAUUUAAGCAAGCCUGUUGUCUUACAAAUAGGGACAUAGGUUCUUUAGCAUUAACCACUGUUUGAUGCAGUUAGUGUGGAAGUCAUGUCCACAAUCUAGUGUCCCAGUGUCAUCCCCAUCUGCAUAUUCUUCCUGCCAUGGUUAAAG